GCGCGGCGCGGUUCCCCGCGGUUGGGAGCAGCAGCCAGCAGGCUGCCAGAGAUCCGACCGCGCCUUCCAGCGCACAGAGGGACGCAACAGGGACGGACGGUCCUUCAUGCCAUACAGAAGUGAGUUUCUUCAGCCCUCUGUCGUGAAGUGUGGAGGAAUGAAUUUUGAGUAUUCCUUCUGGGCGGGUGCAGCGCUGCAGGGGAUGUCAAGUGAGCAUCCAUUUGGAGUGCAGGAAGGAGCAGUGAGAAGUGAACUAUCAAUCAGUUUGUGUUUGGGCUGUCCAAGUAGCCUCUUUCUGUUUUCUGGGGGGACGUGGGCAUACUGGGCAGUACUUCUGCUGCCUGCUGGUGUCUGUGAAAUCAACACACCAUCUGUUGUUGUAGGGAUGGAGCCUGCGCGUCCAUGGAGUGGUGCUGGGCAAGGCUGGAAACGCAAAGCCUCCGCAGGUAAGAAGCUCUUGUGAGCUGUGCUGUGGGCAAGUGCCUCUAAACAGGGCAGCAUGGAUGGCAGAGUGUGCGAUGGAGGGGAGAGGAAAGGGCACUGCAGAUCCGUGCUGACUGCAGAGUUGGCAUAAUGUUGUAGCAGCAGAAAGGCAAGCUGAAGAAACUGCUCUUGCAGACCAGAAGUUUGUGGUUGGCUGUGCUCAAAUCUUCCGCCACAGAGAUGCUCUUCAUGUCUUUCUUGUCUCCUUUCUGCCAGAAGCUGAUGCGAGCGGCCUUCCAGCAAAGCGCAGCCUUGCAGAAAGGCAAGGCAGAAGCGCCCAGUGUGGCACAGCACCCAAGAGAGGUACAGACACACAGCAGGCACCUGGGCUUGGUGCACUGUCUCUCUAGUGAAACUUUCUGUCCGUCCUUUCCUGGGACUGUGGACGUUGUGUGUUGGUUCUGGUCUUAAUCCCUGCAUUUACAUUUAG
ensembl:lncRNA